GGGGAAGGAAAAAAAAAAUCAUCCCCAAGUAUAACAAGAGACGAACAGUUAGUGCUGAUUUUCAUUUGCAUAAAUUUUCAUAUAUUUUAGUGAAAAUAAUAGCGGGAGCAGAGCGGCGCUCCUGCUCAGUCGAGGCGGAGGAAAGAAAAUCUGAGGGAGCAGCGAGUCGCCGGGAAGGGAGAUAACCGCUUCCACGCUCCGUGGGAGCAAACCCACGCCACGUCCUUCACUCUGAAGGAGACCCUCACAAGCACCAAACUUUGGUUCCUCCUCGUCCCCGGUGCAGAACCUGUGGGGAUCUGACAGGGACCUGCGCGCAGGAGCGAACAAAAGGGACGACCUCGGAAGCGAACUCAGGGGUUUAAUUCGACGCAUUAGCUGCAGUCACACUCCAGCGCCGAGCACAAAUCUCUAAAUCUGGAGCAAAUUCGGCUCCUUUAAAGCGCGGAUCAUCUGCGAAAUGUUGAUUUUCUCAAGACGGUGAGCAUGACGUCUCUGUACGUCGUCUUCGCCGUGAAAAAUCUGUAUUGUGUUUUUCGCAAGUGUGCAAUAAAAAACAAGUCAGCAGAAGCCGAGCUCUGUGUCUGUUUGUGUUAAAAACGAGCGCACCCUGAAGCUCCUCACUUGGGUCUCUUCUUCUUCUCCUCCUCCUCUGUGUCCUCAAUGACCCUUGAGGCUGGGACAAGCGUCUCUUUGAGGACAGAUGGACAGACAGUGCACCAACAGCCAAACAUCGGGCCCCUUAAGACAGCAGAGCCGCGAUCCAGCUUCUGCCUUACUGUCAGGCACUUCCUGUAAAUAUGUUUUUGGGUGUGUUUGCAAAACACACGAGUGCCAGCGAGUUGACAGGAGCAGCGCGGCGGCGGCAGGAACACAGAGAGAGAAACCCCACAGAGCCGCGGAUUUAAAAAUAUCUGCACCCCGCCACCGCCCCCACCGAAAGAGGAACGAGGGAAGAAAAGCAGCAGUUCGACGGCACCGAUUGGGGUGAAUUUGUCACAGCAGCACAAACUUAAAAAAUAAAAAAUAGCGGCACAGUCAAGUUUCUAUCAACAAAAAGUUAAAAAAAAAAAACAACCCAAAAUGACGGGAAAAAAAAGGUGUGUGGGAAAAAAACAACAACUCGGUGCACACUUUCUGCUUUCAUUGGAUGUCACAGGGAAAUAGCUGUUUGCUGCUGAAACAAGUUCCUGUUAGCGCAACCCCAGGUAGGAAAGACAUCAGCAAUGACCUCUGGGUGUACACAAAGAGGAAGAGGGAGAGCAGCAGAGGUGGAAAGUCGUCGAGAAGAGGGCUCAACAUGUUGAAGAAGAGUGAACAAAAAUGCUCCCCGUGACGACUUAAGAAUGGGGCAUCCAUGGGGUUUGUGUGUGGAACUUGCUUUUUCCACACACAAACUUUCUCCAUUUUUAU